rnacentral:lncRNA from 1 species
AUGUAGUAGAGAAGUGGUGAUCCACAGGAAGUGACAUAUCAGGGCGACUCAUAUAUAAACAAGGGCAAGAAGGAAGUGGGCCCCUUCUCCUUUACUCCAGACUCACCAUGUGAUCCACCGGCAAGAGAGGGCACCAGGGAAGGCAUCCUCUAUAAGAUAAGUCUUAUAAAAUACAUAGAUUUAUGAUAAUUAAGACUGAGCUAACAGAUGAGAAAUCCUAGUCAUUGGCCAAGCAGCAUUUGUACCUAAUAGAAGUCUCUGUGUAUUAUUUGGGGCCCUAACUCGGCAGGCAGAACUCCGGCGGCUGGCAGAAAGCGCCCAUGUGGUGGUAGGACUCUGGUGGCUUUUGGCGGAAAGAUUUAUCGUAACAGAGGCUCUUGUCUCCCUCACUGGAAUUUAAAAGGUAAUGGGAUGAUUUAGUGGUUGGGUCUUCCUCCUCCUGGAAUGUGUCUGGUAAAAUGCCCCAAGUGUGAGCCAGUGCACCGGACCUGUGUUCAGGACUUGCCGGAGAUUCUUUUUCAGGCUGAUGGCAAAGAGCUUUUGAUGGACAAUAUCUCAAUUCUAACCAAUCUGUUAAAUUCCUAUUUUUAGAUACCCAUUAGUAGAACCCAAAAAACCAGACUCCUCUGUUUCCAAUAAACUUUUUCUGGAAACACAUAAACAAGCACUAUUACGACUUUUACUUUGCCCCUACCAGAAUACACCACCCUGCUUGGAAAUAGUGUAAACACCAGAGAGCUUUUGUGAACCGUAUGCACUCUGCCCUCCUCUCUCCUUUCUCUCCUCUGCUUCCUUCUCUGCUGGCUGAACCCAGGGCUUCACACACGCUAGGCCUGGUACUGCUGAGCUCUACUCCAACCCCUAUUGACUAUGUACACUUUAAUUCUGUUUUUCCAACACAGGGUUUCUCUGCAUAGCUCCAGCUGUCCUGGAACUAGCUCUGUAGACCAGGCUGGCCUCGAACUCAAAGAGGCCAGAAGAAGGCAUUGGGUCCCAGGAACUGGAAUUACAGAUGGUGCGAGCUGCUGUUGCUGUGUAGGUGCUGGGGCUCGAACCCUGGUCCUCUUUAAAGUGCCUCGUCUCCUUUGUUUUCCUUUCUGCAAACACACAAAGCAGACCAGUAGAAUUAAAGACACAGAGGCCAGCAGUAAACAGAGUCAAGGAGGUUCACAUCAGAGAUCAGAAGAUGUGGCUUCCGUUCACGGUGUUUGCAGACUUAGUGCGAGAUCCUGUCUGAAAAACAAGGUGGAUGACUUCUGAGAAAGGAUGACUUGCCUUCCAAGCGGCUGAAUUCAUGGCAGAAGAAACAUCCAGGGAGCACCUGCAGUUUGCAAGACACCUGGACAGAGCACAGACUCCCCCAGGCCUCUCUGAGCCUUGGCACUGACUGCAGAGUAAGACUCAGGGAGAGAUUCGUGCAAGUACUAAAGACCAGUUCUGACAGACGUUGCCUUAGUGGCCUUCUUUCAGCCAGGAAUUGCCUGUUUGCUGUUUGAGUCCCAGAGCGGCCCUUGCUCACUAGGGCUUCUCAUUCUCCCUUCCUGAGGGUAUUUUCUGUGUGGCUUAGAAUAAAGAUUGGACUAUGUAGAUGUUACCA